CCUACGGGAGGCAGCAGUGAGGAAUCUUCGACAAUGGGCGCGAGCCUGAAGCAGCCAAGCCGCGUGAAGGAUGAAUGCCCUACGCGUGGUAAACUCUUUUUAUAAAGGAAUACAGUGAGGCACGUGUGCCUUUUUGUAUUUACUUUAUGAAUAAUGAUCGGCUAACUCCGUGCCAGCAGCCGCGGUAAGGCGGUGCAUACGAGCGUUACCCGGAUUUAUUGGGUUAAAGGUAGCGUAGAUGGGUUGUUAUGUCUGUUGUGAAAGUUUGCGGCUCAACCGUAAAAUUGCAAUUGAUACUGGCAGCCUUGAGUACAGUUGAGGUCGGCGGAAUUCGUGGUGUAGCGGUGAAAUGCUUAGAUAUCACGAAGAACUCCGAUUGCGAAGGCAGCCUACUAAACUGCCACUGACAUUGAUGCUCGAAAGUGUGGGUAGCAAACAGGAUUAGAUACCCCGGUAGUC
rnacentral:rRNA from 1 species